CAAAGGACACUUAUAGCCAGGCCUUAUUCUGAGAAUAUAGCAUGCAACUGAAACAAUCAUUGUCAAGGAACAUAUAAUCCAUGAAGGGCUAGCCUUCUGGAGUGUCAGCAGGAAGAUGGAGGAUCUGCAUUAGACAGAUCCCUGUUUUCUUACUGGGUCGGGGGAGGGGACAGGAUGGAGAAAAAUGCUGUUAUGACUACACAAUUCUCAUAGCAGGAAGGAUGCCAUUAUGACUGCACUCCUUCCCAUCUUUAACCUUCUUCCUAUCUAUCCUGGAUAGCUUUGUCAACUUGACAUAACCCACAGUCACCUGAGCAGAGAACUUUAAGAGAGAAAUUGCUUUGAUCAGAUUGGCCUCAACAGAAAUGGAAAUGGAGAACUACCAGAUGCAGAGGUCACGACCAGGGCUGCAACGGCAAGUGUGGGAAGCAGAACUGAACAUGAAUCUAGGGCUGGUGAGAUGGCUCAGCGGGGAAGAGCACCGA